rnacentral:rRNA from 1 species
UGAGGAAUAUUGGACAAUGGAUGGAAAUCUGAUCCAGCCAUGCCGCGUGCAGGAAGACGGCCCUAUGGGUUGUAAACUGCUUUUGUAUGGGAGCAAUAAGGACUACGUGUAGUUUGAUGAGAGUACCAUACGAAUAAGCAUCGGCUAACUCCGUGCCAGCAGCCGCGGUAAUACGGAGGAUGCGAGCGUUAUCCGGAUUUAUUGGGUUUAAAGGGUGCGUAGGCGGCGAUAUAAGUCAGUGGUGAAAUAUUUCGGCUUAACCGAGAGACUGCCAUUGAUACUGUGUUGCUAGAAUAUGGUUGCUGUGAGUGGAAUGUGUGGUGUAGCGGUGAAAUGCUUAGAUAUCACACAGAAUAUCGAUUGCGAAGGCAGCUCACAAAGACAUUAUUGACGCUGAGGCACGAAAGUGUGGGGAUCAAACA